rnacentral:rRNA from 1 species
GACGAACGCUGGCGGCGUGCUUAACACAUGCAAGUCGAACGAUGAAGCGGUGCUUGCACCGUGGAUUAGUGGCGAACGGGUGAGUAAUACGUGAGUGACCUACCUUUGACUCUGGGAUAAGCCUGGGAAACUGGGUCUAAUACCGGAUACGACCAAUCUCUGCAUGGGGUGUUGGUGGAAAGCGUUAUGGAGUGGUUUUAGAUGGGCUCACGGCCUAUCAGCUUGUUGGUGAGGUAAUGGCUUACCAAGGCGACGACGGGUAGCCGGCCUGAGAGGGUGACCGGCCACACUGGGACUGAGACACGGCCCAGACUCCUACGGGAGGCAGCAGUGGGGAAUAUUGCACAAUGGGCGCAAGCCUGAUGCAGCGACGCCGCGUGAGGGAUGACGGCCUUCGGGUUGUAAACCUCUGUUAGCAUCGAAGAAGCGAAAGUGACGGUAGGUGCAGAGAAAGCGCCGGCUAACUACGUGCCAGCAGCCGCGGUAAUACGUAGGGCGCGAGCGUUGUCCGGAAUUAUUGGGCGUAAAGAGCUUGUAGGCGGUUGGUCGCGUCUGCUGUGAAAGGCCGGGGCUUAACUCCGGUUUUGCAGUGGGUACGGGCUAACUAGAGUGCAGUAGGGGAGACUGGAAUUCCUGGUGUAGCGGUGGAAUGCACAGAUAUCAGGAGGAACACCGAUGGCGAAGGCAGGUCUCUGGGCUGUAACUGACGCUGAGAAGCGAAAGCAUGGGGAGCGAACAGGAUUAGAUACCCUGGUAGUCCAUGCCGUAAAACGUUGGGCACUAGGUGUGGGGGACAUUCCACGUUUUCCGCGCCGUAGCUAACGCAUUAAGUGCCCCGCCUGGGGAGUACGGCCGCAAGGCUAAAACUCAAAGGAAUUGACGGGGGCCCGCACAAGCGGCGGAGCAUGCGGAUUAAUUCGAUGCAACGCGAAGAACCUUACCAAGGCUUGACAUGCAUUAGAUCGCGUCAGAGAUGGCGUUUCCCUUCGGGGCUGGUGUACAGGUGGUGCAUGGUUGUCGUCAGCUCGUGUCGUGAGAUGUUGGGUUAAGUCCCGCAACGAGCGCAACCCUCGUUCUAUGUUGCCAGCGGUUCGGCCGGGGACUCAUAGGAGACUGCCGGGGCUAACUCGGAGGAAGGUGGGGAUGACGUCAAAUCAUCAUGCCCCUUAUGUCUUGGGCUUCACGCAUGCUACAAUGGCCGGUACAGAGGGUUGCGAUACUGUGAGGUGGAGCUAAUCCCUUAAAGCCGGUCUCAGUUCGGAUUGGGGUCUGCAACUCGACCCCAUGAAGUCGGAGUCGCUAGUAAUCGCAGAUCAGCAACGCUGCGGUGAAUACGUUCCCGGGCCU